UACGUAGGGUGCAAGCGUUGUCCGGAAUUAUUGGGCGUAAAGAGCUCGUAGGCGGUCUGUCGCGUCGGCUGUGAAAACUCGGGGCUCAACUCCGAGCUUGCAGUCGAUACGGGCAGGCUAGAGUUCGGCAGGGGAGACUGGAAUUCCUGGUGUAGCGGUGAAAUGCGCAGAUAUCAGGAGGAACACCGGUGGCGAAGGCGGGUCUCUGGGCCGAUACUGACGCUGAGGAGCGAAAGCGGUGGGGAGCGAACAGG
rnacentral:rRNA from 1 species